GUGCUCACUUCAGCAGCAUUUAUACUGAAAUUGGAACAAUACAAAGAAGAUUAGUAUGGCCUCUGCACAUGCAAAUUUGUGAAGUGUAAAAAAAAAAA
rnacentral:snRNA from 1 species